CAGUAGCCGCGGGAAAACGUAGGGCGCAAGCGUUGUCCGGAAUUAUUGGGCGUAAAGAGCUCGUAGGCGGUCUGUCGCGUCUGGUGUGAAAUCCCGAGGCUCAACCUCGGGCUUGCAUCGGGUACGGGCAGACUAGAGUGCGGUAGGGGAGACUGGAAUUCCUGGUGUAGCGGUGGAAUGCGCAGAUAUCAGGAGGAACACCGAUGGCGAAGGCAGGUCUCUGGGCCGCAACUGACGCUGAGGAGCGAAAGCAUGGGGAGCGAACAGGAUUAGAUACCCCCGUAGUCCCUGUCUCUUAUAC
rnacentral:rRNA from 1 species